UAGGGAAUCUUCCACAAUGGACGCAAGUCUGAUGGAGCAACGCCGCGUGAGUGAAGAAGGUUUUCGGACCGUAAAGCUCUGUUGUUGGUGAAGAAGGAUAGAGGUAGUAACUGGCCUUUAUUUGACGGUAAUCAACCAGAAAGUCACGGCUAACUACGUGCCAGCAGCCGCGGUAAUACGUAGGUGGCAAGCGUUGUCCGGAUUUAUUGGGCGUAAAGCGAGCGCAGGCGGAAGAAUAAGUCUGAUGUGAAAGCCCUCGGCUUAACCGAGGAAUUGCAUCGGAAACUGUUUUCUUGAGUGCAGAAGAGGAGAGUAGAACUCCAUGUGUAGCGGUGGAAUGCGUAGAUAUAUGGAAGAAUACCAGUGGCGAAGGCGGCUCUCUGGUCUGCAACUGACGCUGAGGCUCGAAAGCAUGGGUAGCGAACAGGAUU
rnacentral:rRNA from 1 species